UCGGCCGGUCAACUAGGGAAGAUGGCCCAGGCCGAGGAAAUCGCUCCCACGCCCCGUUGUCCCCUCCCCUGAGCAGGGGGGAAGGGACCCAUCUAGAAGGGAGACCCCCUCUCUCUUUCCCUCCCGCCCCACGCGCGCCGCGGGAAUGGCUCCGUGGCCUCACGGGAACAGCUCUCUGGCCUCGUGGCCGGCUGCCCCCACCCCGACGCCCAGUACUGCCAACACGAGUGGGCUGCCAGGGGUGCCGUGGGCGGUGGCCUUGGCGGGGGCGCUGUUGGCGCUGGAGGUGCUGGUCACCGUGGGAGGCAACCUGCUGGUAAUCGUGGCCAUCGCUCGGACACCGAGACUCCAGACCAUGACCAACGUGUUCGUGACUUCGCUGGCCACAGCAGACCUGGUGGUGGGACUGCUGGUAGUGCCGCCGGGGGCCACCUUGGCGCUGACUGGCCACUGGCCGCUGGGAGCCACUGGUUGCGAGCUGUGGACCUCAGUGGACGUGCUGUGUGUGACAGCCAGCAUCGAAACCCUGUGCGCCCUGGCCGUGGACCGCUACCUGGCAGUGACCAACCCGCUGCGCUACGGCGCGCUGGUCACCAAACGGCGCGCCCGGGCGGCAGUGGUGCUGGUGUGGGUCGUGUCCGCCGCGGUGUCGUUUGCGCCCAUCAUGAGCAAAUGGUGGCGCGCGGGAGCCGACGCCGAGGCGCAGCGUUGCCACUCCAACCCGCACUGCUGCGCCUUCGCCGCCAACGUAGCCUACGCGCUGCUCUCCUCCUCCGUCUCCUUCUACCUCCCGCUUCUGGUGAUGUUCUUCGUCUACGCGCGCGUUUUCCUCGUGGCCACGCGCCAACUGCGCCUGCUGCGCCGGGAGCUGGGCCGCUUCCCGCGGGAGGAGUCCCCGCCGACUGCGUCUCGCUCUCUGUCCCCCGCCCCGGCCGGGCCGUGCGCUUCGCCCGCAGGGGUGCCCUCUUACGGUCGGCGGCCCGAGCGCCUUCUGCCUCUGCGGGAACACCGGGCCCUGCGCACCUUGGGUCUCAUCAUGGGCACCUUCACUCUCUGCUGGUUGCCCUUCUUUGUGGCCAACGUGAUGCGCGCUCUCGGCGGCCCCUCUCUGGUUCCCAGCCCGGCUUUCCUGGCCCUUAACUGGCUGGGCUAUGCCAACUCCGCCUUUAACCCGCUCAUCUACUGCCGCAGCUCCGACUUUCGCAGCGCCUUCCGCCGCCUCCUGUGCCGCUGCCGGCGGGAGGAGCACCGCGCCGCCGCCUCCCGGCCUGGCGACCUCUCGGGCGCCCCUGCGGCCCUGACGGGCCCCGCGGAGUCCAGGCGGCGCCCACCGCUCGACGGGGACACACAUCAUUGGAUUUGGAGCCUAUCUUAAUCCAGGAUAAUCUCAUCUCAAGAUCCUUACCUUAAUUAUAUCUGCAAAGACCUUUAAUCCAAAUAAGGUCACAUUCUGAGAUUCCAGGUUGACAUAUAUUUGGGGACUACCAUUCCACCCACUAUAGUGAGAGACACUUAUAAAUCCUUUAACUGAGAGUUCUCAUCUUGAAGAUUAUCAUCCACUCCAGUCGCCCCUCAGGAAAGGGCUGUUCUCUCCAGAAGCUCAUGCUCUGUGGUAGGCAGAACUGAGAACUCUGAAGGACCCCUGUCCUCAUAUAAUUCCCUCCCCUUGAAUGUGGGUGGGACCUAUAAUUUGCUUCUAGGAAAUAAUAAUAUGGCAAAGGUGAUGGGAUAUCACUCCUGUGAUUAUGUUAUAUUAGAUGGCAGAGGUGAAAGGAUUUCAAAGAUGUAAUUAAGGUCUCUAAUCAAUUGACUUAAGUUAAUUAAAAGGCAGAUUAGCCUGCGUGGGCCUGACCUAAUCAAACAAGCCCUUUAAAAGGAGGUCAGAGGUCAGAGAUGGAAGAAGUCAGAAAGAUACUCUGGCUGGCCUCCAUGAAGCUAGCCACCAUGAGUUCCACAAGUGCAAGGAAGUGGAUCCUGCCAACCACCACGUGAGUUGGAAGAGGACACUGAGCGUCAGAUGAGACUGCAGCCCUGGCUGACAUCUUCACUGUAGCCUGGUGAGACCCUGAGCAGAAGAUCCAGCUCCCCCGUACACAGACUCUUGAGACAUGGAAACUGUGAGGUAGGGGGUGUGCACACUGUUGGUGACAAUGGAGCCUUCCAACUUGGGGCCCAGUUCCUCAAAAUCUGGCGUAAGGAUUCUCAAAUAGUUUACAUUAUUUCUUCCAAAAAAGGUGAGUUAUUAUGCAAAAUGGGGGUGACAGAAGGUCCCUCUCUCCUGUUCCUGAGUCCCACCCCAUUUGCAAUCUUCACUGUUGCCCUUCUCACUCUCUGUCAUGAGCAAGAUGGUAGACAAGCCAAGUAUGCUUGUCCUUUUCCUGUUAUUGUCCCACCUUCCACCAGUGACCCUCAGACCCAUUCCCUGGCAUGUCUGCCUCCAUUUCCUCAGUACCAGCUGGAGGGGGGCUGUGUUCCCACAGAACCCUACGGACUCGUCUUCCAGGACAUGGGCUUUACAGUUUGUGAAUACUCCUUCUGGGACU